GUGCUCACUUUGGCAGCACAUAUACUAAAAUUGGAACAUAGAGAGAAGUGAGCCUGGCCCCUGCACCAGGAUGACACGCAAAUCUGUGACGCGUUCCAUAGUUUA
rnacentral:snRNA from 1 species